rnacentral:lncRNA from 1 species
ACCGUCUGUGAUUUGUUGUGUCGUGCCGUGCCACAUCCAGUGUAGAGAGCAUUACUGAUUAUAAUAGGCUCUGUUGUAUUUUGUUGUGCCGUCCAGUGUAGACACAGUGUUAGACCUCUUAUUAAAUAUCAUUACAUAUGAUUCAUGUAUGAUGCCAUUCAUCACUGAUAGAUCUUUUCUAUUUCAUCGAUAAACCACAAGGUAACUGUAACAUAUUAAACAAUAUUCUAUAGUCUUUAUUCUCAUCUCUGUGCUAUUUCAGUACGUUGUGCAUUAUUUCUAGAAUACUUAAUUUUUUUUUAACUUUUUAACAUCAUAAUAUUGGUUGUCUUCUCUUUUUUCAGAGUUUAGCUCCAACCCCAGUUAAGCAGAUCUGAGCAGCUGAUCAAGGAUCACCAGAAACUCUGCAGAACAUUGGUCCUCCAGCCCAGGACUGGACACCAGUGUUAGUGUCUGUCUCAGAAGCUGAAGAAAAGAGGCCACACCUCAGAGGAAAUAAGCGCCUCCUAAGUGUACGGAAAUACCUGGCUGAGAAGAUCAGUGACAUAAACCAGAUAAAACUGUCAGUGGUCUAAGACAGCUACAAUGAAGCCACAAAUGCAGUUCAUAGUUCCUGUAUUUCUAUAAUGCAUUAAUGAAUAACAAUAAUUUAAAAAAAAUGUAAUGUCAAGGUUUUGUGUUAAUUCCAGCUAUGUUGAGUAUUCUGUGAAUAAUUUAGAUUUUAGGUGCAUAUUCUUAAUUCUUUGCAAAACAACCUGAACUGUUUGCUAUUGAAAGGUUGGUA